AGAAAAGGCAGACUCCUCAGCCUUCCAUCACAGACCCAUUGGCCUCCUGAUACAAACUCACAUGGGACUCUGCAGUAAGCUCCAGAACUCUGAGUCGAUGCUUCAGAUCUCCGUGUGCAGAGUGACCCUCUGCACCCUCCCACACACAACUCUAUGAGUGGCUAUUACUUACAAGAAGAUGACAGAGUGCACAGUAAAUGGCCUCUCCAAGAUUUGAUGUCCAGAUGCUGGAAUACAGCAAGAGAAGGAGGGACGUGAAUCCCUGGGCCCCAGCAAGGACUGAAGUGAGAACUGAAACCCAUGGGGAGAGCGAAGAGAGAGACCUCAGUGCAGAGGAAGGAGGGAGCAAGGGGAGCUUUCUCCCGAGCCUUGAUCAUUGUGUGGGAAAGGCAGCUCGAACCUGCGGAUGCCCAGUGGCUGCUGGCCACCGCAGAGGCCUCCACAGAGAAAUGUACCAGAAGAUGCGAGCAGUGGACACAGCAAACUACAGUAGCUGAGAAGAUCUUCAUGUUCACAUGUCUGUCCUAGGAGAGAGCAACCAGCCGGUAGUGUGGCCAUUUUCACUAUAUUGGUUCUCCCUACCCAAGAACAAGGGAUAGCUUUUAAUUUUUUGAUAUCGUCUUCAAUUUCUUUUUUUUUUUUUUCCAGUGUACUGCAGUUUUCAAUGUUGAGGUCUUUUACUUCUUUUGUUAGAUUGAUUCCUAGGUAUUUCAUUUUUUAUGCUAUUGUGAAGGGUGUUGUUUCCCUGAUUUCUCUCUCAGUGUUUGUUAUUCGGAUAUAGGACAGCUACUGACUUUUGAGUGUUGACUUUGUAUCCAGCUAUGAGACUGAAUUUGGUUAUUAAAUUUAAUACUCUUUUGGUGGAUUUCUGGGGUCUUCUAUGUAGAGCAUCACGUUAUCUGCUAUUAGAUACCCCCGCAGUGGGUUUCGAAUCUCCUGCUUGGGUAACUGUGCUCAGGGGGAAAGAAAAUAAAGCACGAGACAAGAAUUGCAAAAGAGAGGACUCCGGGAUGAUCAGUGUCCUCUAGGAGCGAACACUCUACGUCUCCAGCUAGCCACCAUUUUAUUAGCAGUGCAAGGUCAGCGGGCGGAAACUCGGAUCCUGGAACUUGCUCCUGAAGCUUGGCCAGGAAGGCAGGGAGCUCAGAUCACCAGGCCGAGAGAAGCAAGCGUUACUGUGUCAGCUCUGUUUUCUUAAGAGCUGGAGAAACACAGCAAUGCUUGUAGCCGGAGGGACAGGAAGGAGACUGAGGAAUGUGUUUCCUGAGGAGAUGGAGGCCAAGAAAUGCAGGGGUGAUCCGUGGAGGGAGAACAAAGGGGGUGCGGUGAAAGCAGGGAAAGGUACCUAAGCACAACUCAUACCAGCUAAAUCUUGGAAGCAGCCUACAUGUCCAUCAACAGAUGAAUAAAUAAAGAAAAUGUGCUAUUUAUACCCAGUGCAAUACUACUCUGCCAUGAAGGAAAUCAACGAACCUCAAGACCAGAAAGUUAAUUCAGACACACAAGCUUAAAUACUGCAUGCUUUCUCUUAUGUGAAAGACUCGAAGUGUAAAUAAAUUACAGAGCAAAAUAAAAGACAAUAGGAAAUAGG